rnacentral:sRNA from 1 species
GUAACCAUGAGGGAUUCCUGCGAGAGGUCUGGGGAGGAUGAAGAGCAGAAAGAAGAGGCUAUGGCGGCCUGUGGGCGUCUUUCAGGGGUCGCCGAGGCCGAGCAGGGUCCCGAGGCCGAUUGGGACUCCGACCUGGAGACGGAAGGCACCCAUGGGCUUGGAGAACUGGUCAGGGACACACUGUACCUGAGGUCUUGCCGGGCCCAUAGUGUUGUGCCCAUCUCCUGCUUUCUGCGCCAAGGGAGUGCCCAAGAGCUGAACCUCCAGCACCGUGGCCUGGGGCCCCAGGGUGCCCGGGCUCUGGCUUCCUCGUUGAGCUCCAAUCCAUACAUCAAGCGGCUGGACCUUCGAGACAAUGGGCUCUGUGGGGCGGGUGUAGAGGCCCUGGCAGGUGCCCUGAGCAAAAGCAGCAGCAUCCGUGGUAGGUGCUGGGUCUGGGGCAGGUGGGCAGGCGUGAGUCCUCCCUUUCCUCAGGGAUGUGCCUCCAUCAAUGAAAGCUGGGCUGUGUCACCUGGGGCCUGCUGGUGUUGCUGGUGGAUAGAAGAGGGGCCUCAUCACAGGAGGGGGCAUGUGGGUUGGAGUUAGAUCCUCUGCUGUGCAGCCAAUGCUAGAUACAAGUCCCUUCCUCACCCACCCCAUACCAUCACUCCCCUCCCUUGCUGGCCAGCAUCCCCCUCUUCACGAGCAUGUGGGAGACUCCCAGUACCUGAAUGCAGGCUGGGAGAGUCCUUCCACACAGAGAGGUGGGGGUUGGGCAUUGUAAGAAGCAGGCAGGCAAUGUGGGAGUGUGAUGGGGCUGGAUCCAAAUGCCAGUUCUGCCACUGAAGAGCUGGAUAGCUGGGCAAGCAGCUUAACCUCUCUGAGCUUCAGUUUCUGAUCUGUGAAAUGGCCCCCACAAUACCUUAUGGGUUUAGGGCUGUGGUGAGCAUGAAGUGAAAUGCACUCCUGAAGUGAUCAGAGUGUGUGACCCAUGUAAGUGCUCCAUGCACGGCCACUUGGGCUAUUAUUGCCAAUCCUGGCAACGGGGCUGUGAGGGCUUCUGAAGUGGGUAGUGAUAUCACUGCCAGACACAGCCAUCGAUGGUAUGGCUGCCCCCACCACAGCAGUCUCUACAGUACCAGGAGGUAGGCGGUUUUAACCGCUUGACACAGAAGCUCGUGGGCACACAGGGAGGGGGAGGUCAGGAGCAGAGGGGACCCAGCCAUUGGGAGCCAGAGCCACCAUGCAACCCCGGGACAGUUAACCUAUAAGGCCCUUUCGUCUGCCUCAGAGGUUUGGGGGAUGGCAGAAGAGGGGGGAGGGGGUGCCUGGCUUUGCAUCCCACUGGCCGAGGAGUGGUUCUGUCCCCCAGAUGUGGACCUGUCGGAGAACCAGCUGGGAGUGGCAGGAGCCCAGGCCCUCUGUGCUGCUCUCACCACGAACCGGGCCAUGUGGAAGAUGCAGCUGUCAGGGAAUGGCCUGGAGGAGCAGGCGGCCCAGCACCUUGCCGAACUCCUGCUGGCCCACACAGACCUGAAGUCCCUGGACCUGAGCUAUAACCAGCUGAAUGACCAAGCAGCCACACGGAACUCUUCAUUCCUUCCACAAAUAUCUCGUUGCCCACUGCUGUAUGUGCUGGGCACUGACUUAGCCACCAGGGAUCCACCUUGAACAAAACCAAGUUCCUGACCUCAAGGAACAAUGUUAACAACAUCAUUCUGAGGGAGACACUCGGACCAGCCCUGGCAGAAAACACAGGACUCACCGAGCUUAACGUGAGCUGGAAUCACCUCCGGGGCCCAGGAGCUGUGGCAUUUGCCAGGGGACUGGAGGCAAACAUCUUCCUUAAAGUUCUAGACAUCUCAUACAAUGGCUUUGGGGAUCCCGGAGCCUCUGCGGUGGGUGAGGCUCUGAAGGCCAACAACGUGUUGGAGGAACUCAACAUGAGAGACAGUCCCCUGCCGGCCUUGAACUCUUGGGCUGAAGCAGUCUUCCCUCCUCAGCCUCCCAAAGUGCUGGAAUUACAGUCAUGGGGAGUUCAUCAUUGUUACAUAGAGACCUGUGAUUCCUACAGCACAGGUGGAUGGCUGCGAAUUGCACACGGUGUAUAAAGCAUCUCUGGCAGAGCCUGGUGCAUGCAACAACCGCAUCUCCGCAAUGGGAGCCCUGAGCCUGGGCCUGGGCCUCCGGGUCAACCAGACGCUGAGGAUUCUUGUACCUCACCAGAGCAUUCUGUCUGACUAUCUGAUGGAGACACCUUCUGAGCUGAGACAGUGUGGCCAUAGUGGCUGUGUCCUCAGAGAUGAGGAGCCCCUCCUUCCCUUUCAUGUUGCUCUCUGGCCUUCCUGGACCUGGCUUCUCGCAGCUUUGUGUGCGUGUUUCUCAGGUGUCCAGGAAUCCCAUGCGAAGUGAAGGCUGCUUUGGUCUCCUCAAGUCUGUCCAGGACAAUCCAGCCUCUGCCCUGGAACUGCUGGAUUUCUCAGAUAUCCAGGUGAACGCAGAGUUUGAUGGCCUUGCUAGCUCAGUGAAGGGAAUUCUUCCAGAACUCUGCAUAAAGACUGGCGCUUGCAGAGUGGAGUAUAAAAAGGAGUUGCUGCCAGUCUUCAGAUCAGCCCUGCCAGCGUCUGUCCCUAAGUGACCUUGGAGUGUGGCUUCCUCAUCUCCAAUCAGCUGCUUUGACCUCCAGGGUAUAUACUUAAAAGAAAUGAAAACAUAUGUCCCCACAAGAACUUGUGCAUGAAUAUCCAUAGCAACAUUAUUUAUAAUAUUCUAAGAGUGAAAAUGCCCACGAGUGGAUAAAUACAAUGUGGUAUAUCCAUACGGUGGAAUAUUAUUUGGCAAUAAAAAGGAAUUUGAGGUGAUAACAAUGUUCUAAAAUGUAUUGUGGUGAUGGCUACAUAACUGUGCAUAUUCUAAAGGCAAUUGAAUUAUAUAUACUUUAAAUGAAUGAACAGUAUGGUAUGUGAAUGACAUCUCAAUAAAACUGUUUCGAAAAGAAGGAAAAGUACUGAAACAUGCUAAAAAUGGAUGAAACUAGAAAACAUGAUGCUAAGUGAAAGAAGCCAGUCACAAGCUCACGUGUUGCAUGAUUGCAUUUAUAUGAAACAUCCGGAGUACACAAAUCUGUACAGACAGCAAGUAGAUUAUAAAUUGCCUAGGCGUAGAGAAAUAGAGGUAUUGCAGGUUGACAGCUAAAGGAUGUGGAUUUCUUUGGACGGGUGAUAAAAAUGUUCUAAAAUUG